ACCACCCUCUGCAGCAAUGGAUUCCACCUGACAUGCGUCAACUACCAGUGCACGUGCGCUCACUCAGCUCCAGAUACAACCUGCUCCUCUGUGGACAAAUGUAACUCCCUCGGAAAAUGUCCGGUCAACAUGCACUGGGAGUGUCUGUCGGACGGUCACUGCCAUUGCCGAACUAACACUUUCAGAUUGUAAACUCUGCGAACUGGUGAAGUUCUCUGUACCAAUGAUCGGAAUAAAAAGAUCUCUCGUAUUUAC
rnacentral:misc_RNA from 1 species